rnacentral:rRNA from 1 species
GAUGAACGCUGGCGGCGUGCUUAACACAUGCAAGUCGAACGGGAAAUACUUCAUUGAGACUUCGGUGGAUUUGAUCUAUUUCUAGUGGCGGACGGGUGAGUAACGCGUGGGUAACCUGCCUUAUACAGGGGGAUAACAGUCGGAAAUGACUGCUAAUACCGCAUAAGCGCACAGGGCCGCAUGGCCCGGUGUGAAAAACUCCGGUGGUAUAAGAUGGACCCGCGUUGGAUUAGCUGGUUGGUGGGGUAACGGCCCACCAAGGCGACGAUCCAUAGCCGGCCUGAGAGGGUGAACGGCCACACUGGGACUGAGACACGGCCCAGACUCCUACGGGAGGCAGCAGUGGGGAAUAUUGCACAAUGGGGGAAACCCUGAUGCAGCGACGCCGCGUGAAGGAAGAAGUAUCUCGGUAUGUAAACUUCUAUCAGCAGGGAAGAUAGUGACGGUACCUGACUAAGAAGCCCCGGCUAACUACGUGCCAGCAGCCGCGGUAAUACGUAGGGAGCAAGCGUUAUCCGGAUUUACUGGGUGUAAAGGGAGCGUAGACGGUGUGGCAAGUCUGAUGUGAAAGGCAUGGGCUCAACCUGUGGACUGCAUUGGAAACUGUCAUACUUGAGUGCCGGAGGGGUAAGCGGAAUUCCUAGUGUAGCGGUGAAAUGCGUAGAUAUUAGGAGGAACACCAGUGGCGAAGGCGGCUUACUGGACGGUAACUGACGUUGAGGCUCGAAAGCGUGGGGAGCAAACAGG